UAGGAUGAGUCUUGAACCUACCCCUGGUC
rnacentral:piRNA from 1 species